GAGUUUGAUCAUGGCUCAGAGCGAACGCUGGCGGCAGGCUUAACACAUGCAAGUCGAGCGCCCCGCAAGGGGAGCGGCAGACGGGAGAGUAACACGUGGGAACAUACCUUUUGGUUCGGAACAACUGAGGGAAACUUCAGCUAAUACCGGAUAAGCCCUUACGGGGAAGAUUUAUCGCCGAAAGAUUGGCCCGCGUCUGAUUAGCUAGUUGGUGAGGUAACGGCUCACCAAGGCGACGAUCAGUAGCUGGUCUGAGAGGAUGAUCAGCCUCAUUGGGACUGAGACACGGCCCAAACUCCUACGGGAGGCAGCAGUGGGGAAUAUUGGACAAUGGGCGCAAGCCUGAUCCAGCCAUGCCGCGUGAGUGAUGAAGGCCUUAGGGUUGUAAAGCUCUUUUGCCCGGGAAGAUAAUGACGGUACCGGGAGAAUAAGCCCGGCUAACUUCGUGCCAGCCGCCGCGGUAAC
rnacentral:rRNA from 1 species